GACGAACGCUGGCGGCGUGCUUAACACAUGCAAGUCGAACGAUGAAGCCGGAGCUUGCUCUGGUGAAUUAGUGGCGAACGGGUGAGUAACACGUGAGUAACCUGCCCUUGACUCUGGGAUAACUGCGGGAAACUGUAGCUAAUACCGGAUACGACCCUCGGAGGCAUCUCCUGGGGGUGGAAAGAAUUUCGGUCAAGGAUGGACUCGCGGCCUAUCAGCUAGUUGGUGAGGUAACGACUCGCCAAGGCGACGACGGGUAGCCGGCCUGAGCGGGUGGCCGGCCACACUGGGAAUGAGAAACGGCCCAGACUCCGACGGGAGGCAGCAGUGGGGAAUAUUGCACAAUGGGCGCAAGCCUGAUGCAGCAACGCGGCGUGAGGGAUGACGGCCUUCGGGUUGUAAACCUCUUUUAGUAGGGAAGAAGCGAAAGUGACGGUACCUGCAGAAAAAGCACCGGCUAACUACGUGCCAGCAGCCGCCGUAA
rnacentral:rRNA from 1 species